UACGAAGGGAGCUAGCGUUGUUCGGAAUCACUGGGCGUAAAGCGCACGUAGGCGGAUUUGCCAGUCAGGGGUGAAAUCCCGGGGGCUCCAACCUCGGAACUGCCUUUGAUACAGCAAGUCUUGAGUUCGAGAGAGGCGGGUGGAAUUCCUAGUGUAGAGGUGAAAUUCGUAGAUAUUAGGAAGAACACCGGUGGCGAAGGCGGCCCACUGGAUCGGUACUGACGCUGAGGUGCGAAAGCGUGGGGAGGCAAACAGG
rnacentral:rRNA from 1 species